UUCACUCUCUUCUUCUGGAACUCCAAUUACAUAUUUUCAGCAGAGCAUUUUAAGACCAAGAAAUAUAGAUGCCAGGCUCUCCAUGCAGGACAUUCCAAGAGAUUGUGAAACCAACUGUUAAACUGCAGCCCAUCACCUACCUUGAGGAUUUAUAGGUAAAAGUAAGAAAAUUCUUCAAGAGAGGUCAGCAGUGAGGAUUGCUCUGAUGACCAUUGCCAAUGUGCUGUGUGCUCCCCAGAUACUGGCAGGAUGAGGACUAUUAAAGUAACUACUCCUGGACCUUGCUAUGUGCUCCCUGGCAUUUGAGUGCAUAGCCAAGAGGCCGGCUGGAGCCACUGGAGUGACAGAGAAAAGUGAGGGCUUCAUGGGCAGCAGCCUGCACCUCUGGAAGCAGACAGGGCUCAGCACAUCCUCAAGGAAAAUCUCUGGUGUUGAGUCAACUUGGGAAGGUUUGAAAUUUUGAUUGUGG
rnacentral:lncRNA from 10 species